rnacentral:tRNA from 1 species
GUUGCCGUAGUCAAGUGGUUAAGGCGAUAGACUUGAAAUCGUUUGGGAUCUUCCCGCGCAGGUUCGAAUCCUGCCGACAACG